rnacentral:rRNA from 1 species
GAUGAACGCUGGCGGCGUGCCUAAUACAUGCAAGUCGAGCGAACAGACGAGGAUCGUGCCCUUCUGACGUUAGCGGCGGACGGGUGAGUAACACGUGGCUAACCUACCUAUAGGACUGGGGUAACUUCGGGAACCCGAAGCUAAUACCCGUUCAUCUAUUGAACCGGAUGGAUCAUUAGUCAUAGCCGGUUCUGCUGACACUAAUAGAUGGUACCGGGUCGCAUUAGCUAGUUGGUAAGGUAACGGCUUACCAAGGCAACGAUGCGUAGCUGACCUGAGAGGGUGAUCGGCCACACUGGAACUGAGACACGGUCCAGACUCCUACGGGAGGCAGCAGUAGGGAAUAUUCGACAAUGGGCGAAAGCCUGACGGAGCAACGCCGCGUGUGUGAUGAAGGUCUUCGGAUCGUAAAGCACUGUUAUUUGGGAAGAAGAAAAGUAUAAUUAAACCUGCACGUCCUGACGGUACCUAAAGAGAAAGCCACGGCUAACUACGUG